GGAUUGUAGCUCAGUGGUAGAGUGCUUGCCUCACACACAAGAGGCACUGAGUUCUAUCCUUAGCACCA
rnacentral:tRNA from 1 species